CCUACACUUCCAUACACUCCCACUUGAAUCACCUGCUGACAAUUCAAUCCCUUCGAGGCGGAGCAGGGGGGAUCAGAGCACCUACGAAUUUGGUCUGUAACACGUGACACAUUUGGAUGCUGAAUCAUCGCACUUCUGCACAGCAAAUGUAAAACCCCUGGCUGAAAAAAAAAAAAAAAAUUCAAGAAGAAAAAGGCAAGAGGCAACCUGCCCUUGAAGCAAGUGGAAGAAAAGGAUGAAAA